UUCACUGACCUAGCCCAAUUAACCCACACCAACCACCUAACAAAACAAACAAACCAUUAUCACCCAAUUAGUAGUCUACAUCAUGCGAUCGAAAAUCCAACCAGAAGCAAUAGAAGCAGUACCGCAAGGGAAAGAUGAAAUAAUAUUACUCUCACACGCACCAAAAAGCAGAGAUUAACCCACGUACCUUUUGCAUCAUGAUUUAGCAAGCAAUAAUCGACCAAAAUGACUUCCAGCCUGCCCACCCGAACCCAGACGAGCUACUCCAGAGGCAGUCUUACCGGACCAAGCCUACCCUGUUGCAAAAGAGCGGGAAGACCUCGGGGUAGAGGUGAAACACCUACCGAGCCUGGCAAUAGCUGGUUGCUCACUAAAUGAAUCUAAGUUCAACUCUAGUGCCUACCAAGUAAAAAAAAUACCACCACUAGAAGCUAUGCCCCAGAGGACCAGCUCUGGGGCAACUGGAUACAGCCAAAACUAGCGGGCCCCAACAAGACUUUCUUCCCGUAGGCCCUCAAGCAGCCACCAAAAAAAAUCGCGUCACAGCAACAGAUUCCCCAAUCCCACAACCAAACACCCACCCCCACUACAAACUGAGCCACCCCAUCAAAUCAUGGGGGCACUACUGCUAAAACUAGUAAUAUGAGCACCACUCUAGCUGCACCCGCCUACAAGCCAACAUUACCAACUAAAGUACCCACAACCAAGACCACCUACCCUCACACCCCCCGUAAGCCCGACACAGGAGUGCCACGCAACAGAUUAACUGUCCAAGAAGGAAUUCAGCUAAUAUGCCCCACCUGUUUACCAAAAACACCGCCUUUAGCCAAAACAAGUAUUAAAGGUCCCGCCUGCCCAGUGAAACCCCUUCAACGGCCGCGGUAUCCUAACCGUGCAAAGGUAGCGCAAUCACUUGUCCCCUAAAUAGGGACCAGUAUGAAUGGCUAACUGAGGGCACAACUGUCUCCUAGGACCAAUCAAUGAAACUGAUCCCCCAGUACAAAAGCUGGGAUACACCCACAAGACGAGAAGACCCUGUGGAGCUUUAAACUCCACUACUAUAGUGCCCACCCCCCCCCAAAACAAGCACGAACUAGUAGCCGCUUUAAGUUGGGGCGACUGUGGGGUAAAACCAAACCCCCAUGAAAUAUGGCUAACCCCCACCACUAGGCCAACACGCCAACGGGGCCCACCACACCGACCCAGAUAAAAUUGAGCAACGAACCAAGUUACCCCAGGGAUAACAGCGCUAUCCCCCUCAAGAGUCCAUAUCGCCAGGGGGGUUUACGACCUCGAUGUUGGAUCAGGACACCCCAGUGGUGCAGCCGCUACUAAAGGCCCGUUUGUUCAACGGUUAAUGUCCUACGUGAUCUGAGUUCAGACCGGAGCAAUCCAGGUCGGUUUCUAUCUGUGCCAUAUCUGCUUUAGUACGAAAGGACCAAGAAGACAGUACCAAUGCCACCCGCACGCACUGCUACCAAAACUGAACAAAAAUUAAGCAAUAUCAGACACCCAGUGUCCGAUAUAAGGACUA
rnacentral:rRNA from 1 species